rnacentral:rRNA from 1 species
AGAGUUUGAUCAUGGCUCAGAUUGAACGCUGGCGGCAUGCCUUACACAUGCAAGUCGAACGGCAGCGCGGGGCAACCUGGCGGCGAGUGGCGAACGGGUGAGUAAUAUAUCGGAACGUACCCUGGAGUGGGGGAUAACGUAGCGAAAGUUACGCUAAUACCGCAUACGAUCCAAGGAUGAAAGCAGGGGACCUUCGGGCCUUGUGCUCCUGGAGCGGCCGAUAUCUGACUAGCUAGUUGGUGAGGUAAAGGCUCACCAAGGCAUCGAUCAGUAGCUGGUCUGAGAGGACGAUCAGCCACACUGGAACUGAGACACGGUCCAGACUCCUACGGGAGGCAGCAGUGGGGAAUUGUUCGCAAUGGGCGCAAGCCUGACGACGCAACGCCGCGUGGAGGAUGAAGAUCUUCGGGUCGUAAACUCCUGUCGAGCGGGACGAACACCUGCCGGCCUAAUACGCUGGCAGGCUGACGGUACCGCUAAAGGAAGCCCCGGCUAACUCCGUGCCAGCAGCCGCGGUAAUACGGGGGGGGCAAGCGUUGUUCGGAAUUACUGGGCGUAAAGGGCUCGUAGGCGGCCAACUAAGUCAGACGUGAAAUCCCCAGGCUCAACCUGGGAACUGCGUCUGAUACUGGUUGGCUUGAAUCCGGGAGAGGGAUGCAGAAUUCCAGGUGUAGCGGUGAAAUGCGUAGAUAUCUGGAGGAAUACCGGUGGCGAAGGCGGCAUCCUGGACCGGCAUUGACGCUGAGGAGCGAAAGCUAGGGGAGCAAACGGGAUUAGAUACCCCGGUAGUCCUAGCCCUAAACGAUGAAUGCUUGGUGUGACGGGUAUCGAUCCCUGUCGUGCCGAAGCUAACGCAUUAAGCAUUCCGCCU